CCAGGAUGUUGGCUUAGAAGCAGCCAUCAUUUAAAGAAAGCGUAAUAGCUCACUGGUCGAGUCGGCCUGCGCGGAAGAUGUAACGGGGCUAAACCAUGCACCGAAGCUGCGGCAGCGACGCUGAUGCGUUGUUGGGUAGGGGAGCGUUCUGUAAGCCUGCGAAGGUGUGCUGUGAGGCAUGCUGGAGGUAUCAGAAGUGCGAAUGCUGACAUAAGUAACGAUAAAGCGGGUGAAAAGCCCGCUCGCCGGAAGACCAAGGGUUCCUGUCCAACGUUAAUCGGGGCAGGGUGAGUCGACCCCUAAGGCGAGGCCGAAAGGCGUAGUCGAUGGGAAACAGGUUAAUAUUCCUGUACUUGGUGUUACUGCGAAGGGGGGACGGAGAAGGCUAUGUUGGCCGGGCGACGGUUGUCCCGGUUUAAGCGUGUAGGCUGGUUUUCCAGGCAAAUCCGGAAAAUCAAGGCUGAGGCGUGAUGACGAGGCACUACGGUGCUGAAGCAACAAAUGCCCUGCUUCCAGGAAAAGCCUCUAAGCAUCAGGUAACAUCAAAUCGUACCCCAAACCGACACAGGUGGUCAGGUAGAGAAUACCAAGGCGCUUGAGAGAACUCGGGUGAAGGAACUAGGCAAAAUGGUGCCGUAACUUCGGGAGAA
rnacentral:rRNA from 1 species